rnacentral:rRNA from 1 species
UAACGGCGAGUGAAGCGGCAACAGCUCAAAUUUGAAAGCUGGUCCUUGCAGGGCCCGCGUUGUAAUUUGUAGAGGAUGAUUCGGCGAGGGCUCCCGCCUAAGUCCCCUGGAACGGGGCGUCAUAGAGGGUGAGAAUCCCGUAUGCGGUGGGCUGCCUUAGCCAUGUGAAUCUCCUUCGACGAGUCGAGUUGUUUGGGAAUGCAGCUCUAAAUGGGAGGUAAAUUUCUUCUAAAGCUAAAUACCGGCCAGAGACCGAUAGCGCACAAGUAGAGUGAUCGAAAGAUGAAAAGCACUUUGGAAAGAGAGUUAAAAAGUACGUGAAAUUGUUGAAAGGGAAGCGCUUGCAACCAGACUUGUCCGCAGUUGCUCAGCCGGUCUCCUGACCGGCGUACUCUUCUGCGGCCAGGCCAGCAUCAGUUCGGGCGGUCGGAUAAAGGCCUCGGGAAUGUAGCUCCUCUCGGGGAGUGUUAUAGCCCGGGGCGGAAUGCGGCCAGCCUGGACUGAGGAUCUCGCUUCGGCUAGGAUGCUGGCGUAAUGGUUGUAAGCGGCCCGUCUUGAAACACGGACCAAGGAGUCUAACAUCUAUGCGAGUGUUUGGGUGUCAAACCCAUACGCGGAAUGAAAGUGAACGGAGGUGGGAACCCUCACGGGUGCACCAUCGGCCGAUCCUGAUGUCUUCGGAUGGAUUUGAGCAAGAGCAUAGCUGUUGGGACCCGAAAGAUGGUGAACUAUGCCUGAAUAGGGUGAAGCCAGAGGAAACUCUGGUGGAGGCUCGCAGCGGUUCUGACGUGCAAAUCGAUCGUCAAAUUUGGGUAUAGGG